UGAGUCUGAAGCCAGCAUCCCAGAGGACGUAGAUCUGACUAGAGCUGAGUCUCUGAACCCAGGAAGAAGAACACUUCAGGAGACAGGUAAUCACUGCUGCUCAGAAAUCAUGUGCUGGGGGACUUCUUUCGCCACUGUAUAUCUGGGCCUUAAGAAGAUCUAAAGUUCUUGGUCCAAGGUACCUGAAACUAUUUCCAAGAAUUCCAGAUGACGAUUUGUUUAGUCACUUUCAAAGACAGCCCCUGAUUCAGGUAAUCCUGAAGCAGAGAGGAUUUUGACCAAUGAAUUAUCACUGGCAUCUGUAUUUUUCAUAGGAAUCUAAGCUGGUGCCUUUAUCUACAAACCCAGAUGUCCUUUGAUGGUCAGAAAACCUGAUGAGACUGAGGAUUGUGAUGUACAGGAUCUUUAGAGAUGCUUCUUUGGAUGGAGAAGCAGGUUACAGAGGCUGACUUUCUGUCAGUUACGUAAGAGUAUCCAAUGUGAAGUUGAGAAAACUGACUACCAGCUGUGAAGAGGGCCAGAACAGUGAUAGACACACACUGCCCACUACUUCCUUUCCUCUGAACUCAGAGGCUUACUGCUCUGGAGGGCCCUGGGGGGAUGCUAUGGAAUCUCCUAACCCUCUCAGAUGCAAUGAUGAAUGACAUCCAAAGCCAUUACAUCUGGAGAACUAGGACCAUCCUUGCCAACACUGAGAUGGGAGCUUCCAUUCCAUUCCAGCUGCUGCUGCCCUAUUCUUUUCCUCUGGUAUACCUCGUCCUUCGCACAGAAAACCCUGAAGUCAGAUGA
rnacentral:lncRNA from 1 species